UACAGAGGUCUCAAGCGUUGUUCGGAAUCACUGGGCGUAAAGCGUGCGUAGGCUGUUUCGUAAGUCGUGUGUGAAAGGCGCGGGCUCAACCCGCGGACGGCACGUGAUACUGCGAGACUAGAGUAAUGGAGGGGGAACCGGAAUUCUCGGUGUAGCAGUGAAAUGCGUAGAUAUCGAGAGGAACACUCGUGGCGAAGGCGGGUUCCUGGACAUUAACUGACGCUGAGGCACGAAGGCCAGGGGAGCGAAAGGG
rnacentral:rRNA from 1 species